rnacentral:rRNA from 1 species
AACGUAGGGGGCCAGCGUUGCUCGGAAUUACUGGGCGUAAAGGGUCCGUAGGCGGUGUGGCAAGUCGGUCGUGAAAUCUCUGGGCUUAACUCAGAGGCUGCUUCCGAAACUGCUGUGCUAGAGUGCGAGAGAGGCGAGUGGAAUUGCGGGUGUAGCGGUGAAAUGCGUAGAUAUCCGCAGGAACAUCCGAGGCGAAAGCGGCUCGCUGGAUCGCAACUGACGCUGAGGGACGAAAGCGUGGGGAGCAAACAGG